UUCUAACGGGGAGCUGGGAAAUGGCCCGGCUGAGAGGCAACACCGUAUGUUGCGACCCAUUAACCUGAUCUGGGUAAUGCCAGCGUAGGGAGCC
rnacentral:ncRNA from 1 species